UUUGUUUUUUUUCUUUUCGAAUCGUUAUCCUCUAAUUAGUGAACGCUCCUGAGAUUAGAUCUGGACCGAACGGUUUUCAUUCAUUAGCUUCCCAUAGUGAACGUUCGCUUUUUAAAUUUUUCCUUUUCUUUUUAAUUUCUGCCAGGGACCUAUUCGUAGUUUUAUUUUUUAGAGAUUAGUCCCUCUGUUUCAAACCAUCACAACUUCUUGCCAGUUUAUCCAAAUCCAACAAAACCUGCGCCAAUUUCUUCGUUAUAAUCCCCUCUAUCCAGUAAUCCAACUCAAACAAGUUUUUGAAAUUUUAAAUUUUGAAUUAGAUCAGAUUUGAAUUUGAAUCUUCUUUUGAUCGUAACUUGAGUUUCGUAGCUCCGAUUUAGUUGAUUCUUUUUGCAAAUCGAAGCUCUUGACCUAAACUUUCUGAUAAGGCCAAAUUCAUAUAAUUUUGGUACUGUUAGAAAUUGUUUUAUGUUGCAAGAGUUAUUUGUUUGGUUUUGAUGUUUUCCGAAUCGUCUUCUUCGUUCUUCCCGAUCUUUUGAGUGAUUGCUUAUGUAUGGUUACCAUUGCCUGCUUAUGAUAGAUUGACCGGAGUGUGAAGAGUAGAACUAUCAAGAGUUUGAGUGCGAAUCAUCUUCAUCAACAUUGCAGGCAAGUAACACUUUGAUCAUACCCCUUUACUACCCAGUUUUGUUGCAUUAGAUCAACCCUCAAACAUUGCAUGGUUAGGAUCUAAUUAAAUUGUGGGUAUCGGGAAGUAGUUGAGGUAGUACCUAUCACCUGUUUUAUUAUCAAACCCUUGGGAGUUACUUCUACGUUGCUUAUAUUGCUAUGCUAUGCUUGUAGACGUGGAUUGGGUUUGAGAGAUAUCCAUGACAGAUGUGAGAUUGUUAAUAUAUGGUUAAACUUAAGGUGGCAACUAAAACUCACAUCUGGGUGGAUUGAGGUACCUGGGUAUUCCAGGAUUGCCUGUUUUCUUUUGGACCGCCACCCAGGUUCAAAGGGAUAAUGAGAUUAUUCAUGCUAGAAACUUCCGUGUGCAGCCACAAGCUAUUAUGGGCUCUAUCAUAGUUGAUUAAGUUGUGUGAACUCUUACAGUGGUAGACUAGCAGAUGUAGGGGAUGUAGGUGUAUCGGUCUACCCAUCGUAAGGUGCUACCGCUUCUGAAAGACUGUGUCUCGGUCAUCCGUUUCUCAAACAUCAUGUAGUGCGAGAAUCAAGCGGAGGCGAUCGAGUCUUGUGGGGAAAAGUGCACAAACCUCUGCAGAGUGUACAAACUAAUCAUGAUUAGCCGUGUCCCCGGUUAUGGACAACUUGAGUAUCUGGUACUUGGAUUAUCAUGUUGAUCUCAUCAUGUUACUUUAAUUAAACUUGUUGGGUUAAUGAUGAUACUUAAUUGGGAUUGAGAUGCUGUCAACCAUCUCAAUGUUUCACAACCACCAUGAUAGUUAAAUAAAAUUUAUUCCUUUGCAGUAGGGAAAAAUCGGCUUUUCGCAAAAACAUUAUAACCAUAGAGCUUUUCCACUAGCCAUAUAUGCAUGUAGUGAUAGCCUUUGUUCAUCAUUUCUCUAUGGUGUGUAUUUGCCAGCAUAUUCCAUGUGCUGACCUGUUUUUCGGGCUGCAACGCUUCAUGUUGCAGGAUUCUUACGACGAGUGAGUGAUACGUUAGGGUUACGAGUUCUACACUCAACUUUGCCGUUGGUGUUGAUGGGAAUCCACAACCUUGUUACUUCCGCUAUUUGGAUUGAGGUAAUAGUAUUUACGUUACUUUAUACAUGUGAUUUACCUCUGUUAUAAAUCCUCGAGUACUGUGUGUGUCAGCAUACCGAUCCAGGGAUGACACUUAAGCACAGAGACUUGAUCCAUUCGGGUCGGGUCGCUACAAGAUGGUAUCAGAGCACAUGUUGACUGUAGGACGUGACCCUAGAAACUGGGAAGCCCAUAGGAAGGAUUUUCUCUAAAACCUUCUUUUUCAGAAAGAUCUUUUACCUCUUUUCUCUUCUGAGCAUAUUCAAACAUUCCCUUUAAGUGAGACCAUACCCCUUUUCCCUUUGGACCACUCGAAGAUUCGACGGAUGAGACCACUCCAAGGAGUACAAGAAAUCGGAUAACUAAGGCCAUUCGGAAUGAAGAGGAUUUUACCAUACAUUAUGACAAUGGAAACUAUAGUGGUUGAAGACUCCGAAGACUAGGAGAAUUUGAAGGCUCUGAAGAAUUCCCAGAUUUGACCUAGUAAGGCUACCCCUAUGGAACUUGGCAGACUAUGGAAGCUGUCAAUACCUGAGAUCAAGGUGUAUCGAAGAAAGACCGGAGCAUGGAGAGUUAAAAAACUCAAAGUUCUGUCAAGGAAAACCCUAAGGCAGGAGAUAUCAACUAUGGAGAGAUAGCUCAUGGAAAAGACAAGAGCAGAAACACGGCUAUCCAUGAUGUUAUCGCCCGCUUAUGCUAUUGUCACCGUGCUGAGUUAAGCAUGCAUAUGCAUGGAAGGAUUGGAUGGUAGAAGGCUGAUGGAGCACCUAUCAGCAAGAUGAAGUGUUAACCUUAGCCGGUGUAUCACCAGGAUCUGGAGUGUUACGUCAAGAAGUUAAGAUGGAGAUACAAGAAGCCAUAUUUGAAAGGAAGCAUUUCAUGAAGAACUCAGGACCUAGAAGCUGGAAGUAGCCAAGCUGGAGGAGCAAAAUUUCGAGAUACCGGAAAUUCGUCAGGAACUGAAGGACAGUAGGACUAUGGUUCAUGCCAAGGAUGUUGAAAUCUAGAAGUUUGGAAAGCAAUUAUUAAAGGACGCCACGAGAGACUUCGCGUCAACAGAGAUGAUAUGGCAAAAGAGCUUGAGAAGGACAAGCACGAUCGGAAGAAGCCAUCGGAGACAUGAACAAGAAUUGAAGAGUUUGGCGACUUUGAAGAUUUAUUGACCUUUAGAAGACCAAACCCCUGUUAUACACUUACGUUAGAUGUGACGUUUGUGAGCUGUCAUUUGUUUGAUGUUUUUCCGACAGCCACAAUAAAAAUCUGUCUUUUCAAAACUAUUGUUUGCAUUGUGUGUAUCCCUCUUGACCUCUCCUACCCCACUCCAAACCCAUGGACCCAAUAGAGGAUGAAUGAAGAUGAGCUUAUAUUUGGUGGACCGAUGAGUCAAUUGGAGACGGACCGAUGGAUACAGAACAUAAAUGAUCACAUGGAGAAUAACCUUAUAGCCGGAAAGGAUAUGACCCAACGUACUCUUGAGUGCUUUGAAAGAGGUGCCACUACCUGGUAGAGGAUGUACCAAACCAUCAAUGGAUGGCAAGGAGUAACCACUUGGAAGGAAUUUAAGUGGACUUUGUUAAAGUCUUGGCUUGUGUCCCAGAAAUUGAGGCCUUAUGGAAAGGAUAUGAAGAAACCUUGUGCAUACAAGCUUUGUGGAGAAAUAGGACACAACCAUAAAGAAAACAAGGACAAAUACCCUCAUAAGCGGAGGAUUGCCAAAGGAAUGAGCCGAGGAUCUCAGGGAACUUCGGUUGGAGAUUGUUCCCAAAGGUUUUGUUGCAGCAAUGGAAGUUCAGUCUACAUUGUUGGGAAAGAUCCGUGAAGCUCAGAAGGAUGACAAAGAGAUUGUCGAGAUAAAAGUGAGAAUGAGCAAAGGAAAGGCCAGAGGUUUUCGUAAGGAUGAACACGACACCUUAUGGUUCGAGGACCGUGUAUAUGUGCCCAAUAAUGCAAAGAUCAGGAAGUUAAUACUUCAGGAGGCUCAUGACUCACCAUACUCAAUUCGCCCUGGAAACACCAAGAUGUAUUUGUAUUUGAAGGAGCGUUUCUGGUGGACUGGUAUGAAGAAGGAUAUUGCGGAGUAUGUAGUCGUAGGUGAUGUAUGCCAGAGAGUAAAGGCAGAGUAUCAGAAGCCAACCGGAUUACUACAGCCCAUGCCGAUACCCGAAUGGAAGUAGGAUAAGCUUGGCAUGGAUUCCAUUACCGGAUUUCCCAGAACCCGAUCGGGAUAUGAUUCUAUCUGGGUAGUAGUUGAUUCGCUUGACCAAAGUGGCUCCCUUUAUCCCAGUGAAAACCACCUAUACAAGUGCGAAGUUGGCCAAGAUAUAUAUGACCAGGACCGUAUGUCUGCAUGGAGUUCCGAGGACCAUCGCAUCAGAUAGAGGAACAUAGUUUACCUCAAAGUUUUGGAAUUAGCUGCACCAGACUUUGGGUACUAGGCUAGAGUUCAGUACAGCCUUUCAUCCGCAGACAGAUGGAUAGACCGAGAGAGUCAAUCAGAUUCUGGAGGACAUGUUGAGAGCGUGUGCACUAGAUUAUGGAUCUAGUAGGGAUGAUAAUCUACCUUACGCGGAGUUCUCAUACAACAACAGUUACCAAGCCAGUUUGAAGAUGGCCCCUUUUGAAGCUUUGUAUGAGAGAAGAUGACAUGACUUCUUCCAUUUAUUUAAAUGAAAAGGGGUGUUGAAAAUAUUUGAAUAUCAUUUGAAAAUAUUUCCAAUUCAGAAACUUCAAGCAACUCAAUGAUUUUCAUGAGAGAAGAUAAAAUGACUUCUUCAAAAGAUAUGAAAUAUGAGUUGGAAGUUUAAAAGAAUUAAAUUCAAAGUCCCUUUGAAUUUAUUUUCAAAUUUGGAGUUAUUUGGGUUUUAUUCAAAUUAUUUUUAUUCAAAAAUAAACUAUAUGAAAAUAGGUUAACAUGAUUUCCUACAUCAGAAAAUUGGAGAGAAAUAAAUUUGAAUUAAUUUUGGUAUUUUUAAAAUGAUUUUUAUUAGGUUUUAUUGAACCAGCAGCACUCUUUGCUUUAUUUCAAUUUCUGUGUACUUUAUGUGAUGCUAGAAAAAUGUUCACGUUGUAGAAAAUCUUUUUCCGAAAAUUUUGAUAUAUAAUAUGCCUAUAUUAUAUUUUGCUUCUAUUUUCUUUUGUUUUAUUUUAGUUUGUCUGUGUUUUUUUUAAAAAAACUCUUCGAACAGUGCCAGGCCGAAGCCCAGCAGUGCUCUCUCUCUCUCUCCCGCUCUCCGCCGACUGGGCCGGCCCAGCUCCAGCUAGGCCACGGCCCAGCGCGCCCGCGCCCGUCCCCGACUCCGGUGGAGUCCGCCUCCGCCACGGAAUCGCCGCCGCCGCCCGUGCCCGUGCAGGACUCCCUCCGCCGCCUCUCCGUUGCCCCUCCUCCACGCCUCGGAGCCGCCCCGCCCUCCUAUAAAGCCGGAGCCCCGGGCCCUGAUCUCUCUCUUUCUCCUGGCAAGUCACCGCCGCACUCGCCGAGCCGCCGCCGCCAAGAUCCGCACCGCCGCCCGCUCGCGCAGCCAUCGCCCUCGACCACCGCCGACACCGCCAUCGCCUUCGCCUCGUCGAGCCGCGCCUCCCCGUGGUCUCGCCCGGGCUAGAGGACCACCGGAGUCGUCGCCCUGACCACACCCGAGCCGCCGCCGACGCUGUCCGCCGCCGCAGUAAGUCGCCGGAGCCCGGAGCCGCCUCGUCCGUCCGAUUCCCCUUCUACGGCUAGGAUUAGGUCUAGGUUUGUUUUUUUUUCUUCCUCUAAUUAGUGAACGCUCCUGAGAUUAGAUCUGGAGCGAACGGUUUUCAUUCAUUAGCUUCCCAUAGUGAAUGUUCGCUUUUAAAAUUUUUCCUUUUCUUUUUAAUUUCUGCCAGGGACCUAUUCGUAGUUUUAUUUUUUACAGAUUAGUCCCUCUGUUUCAAACCAUCACAACUUCUUGCCAGUUUAUCCAAAUCCAACAAAACCAGCGCCAAUUUCUUCAUUAUGAUCCCCUCUAUCCAGUAAUCCAACUCAAACAUGUUUUUGAAAUUUUAAAAUUUGAAUUAGAUCAGAUUUGAAUUUGAAUCUUCUUUUGAUCGUAACUUGAGUUUCGUAGCUCCGAUUUAGUUGAUUCUUUUUGCAAAUCGAAGCUCUUGAC
rnacentral:lncRNA from 1 species